GACGAACGCUGGCGGCGUGCUUAACACAUGCAAGUCGAACGGAAAGGCCCUGCUUGCAGGGUACUCGAGUGGCGAACGGGUGAGUAACACGUGGGUGAUCUGCCCUGCACUUCGGGAUAAGCCUUGGAAACUGGGUCUAAUACCGGAUAGGAGCCAUUUUUAGUGUGAUGGGUGGAAAGUUUUUUCGGUGUAGGAUGAGCUCGCGGCCUAUCAGCUUGUUGGUGGGGUAAUGGCCUACCAAGGCGGCGACGGGUAGCCGGCCUGAGAGGGUGGACGGCCACAAUGGGACUGAGAUACGGCCCAGACUCCUACGGGAGGCAGCAGUGGGGAAGAUUGCACAAUGGGCGCAAGCCUGAUGCAGCGACGCCGCGGGGGGGAUGACGGCCUUCGGGUUGUAAACUCCUUUCGCUAGGGACGAAGCUUUUUGUGACGGUACCUAGAUAAGAAGCACCGGCUAACUACGUG
rnacentral:rRNA from 1 species